rnacentral:rRNA from 1 species
AUUGAACGCUGGCGGAAUGCUUUACACAUGCAAGUCGAGCGGCAGCGCGGGGCAACCUGGCGGCGAGCGGCGAACGGGUGAGUAAUGUAUCGGAACGUACCCAGUCGUGGGGGAUAACUAUCCGAAGGAUAGCUAAUAACCGCAUACGUCCUGAGGGAGGAAAGACGGGGGAGUCGCAAGACCUCGCGCGAUUGGAGCGGCCGAUAUCGGAUUAGCUAGUUGGUGAGGUAAAGGACUCACCAAGGCGACGAUCCGUAGCUGGUCUGAGAGGACGACCAGCCACACUGGAACUGAGACACGGUCCAGACUCCUA